rfam:Schistosoma mattheei strain Denwood, Zambia genome assembly, scaffold: SMTD_scaffold0016282
GAACUGCUGAGGAGUCCUACAGUUGGACGAAACGGCUGUCCAGUGC